AUCUGGCCCCAUUCACCUCAGCUGUUAGCCAGAAAUCCAAAGUCAGUUGCUUCUCCUGUAACCACACUGGUCAUAAGUCCUUCUCAAAACAAGAAAACACUCUACAAGUGCGAUGUUAGGAAAUCCUAGGCUUGGACAAGCUAACCAUGGAGAGGCGGCACAGCAGGCAGCAGCUUUUAGUCCGACAACAGAGCUUUAAGGAGUGGAAACGUGCAGAUCAUAAAGAAAGGAAAUGAACACCAGGUGUGCAGGGUGGAGCAAAGAUCAGAGUGGCGAACUUUCCAGGGUGGACCCGGCCCUCGCCCAACAGUUUCUGGGACCAACUCCAGCAGUCUUGUGACCCCAAAAAAGGAUUCAGUGGAAUCAGAAGAUGGAUGUCUGUUUCACAGGAUGUUUGUUGUAUAUGAAUUUGUUUAAUCUUGUACUGGCCAGCCGAAAGUAUAUUGAAAGCUUGUUUUGGGGCACUUGAGUUGAGCCCCCAAACCCUGAAGCAUCAGUCCACCCAGGUUAAUUUUUAGCACUCAAUGGUCACAUUUUUUCCUGGAAUGUAUUGGCGAGCUGUCCAGUGUUGGCUAAAAUGAAAAUGUGACGCUGAACUGGAAUUAGAUUUGGAAAAGGGAUGGAUGCAUGUUUUGUUGGUUGUUAAAUGCACUUGAGUUGAUUUAUAACUGAAAUUAUCCUCCAUAAAAUGUUCAAGUAUUUUGGGUCUGACUAGUGUAUUUCCACUACAAAAACUUUGGAUCUCUUUGAAGAAACAUAACUGAUAGUGGCCUGAUCUGGAGGUUUGUUCGUGUCCUUACUUUUAUAAAAAGUUUUCCUUCAGUUUUCUCCAUAUGGGGUGUUAUCAUGGACUAUGUAGAAGAACUGGACUAAGUGACCCGUUCCCCGCUGCCCCUUGCUUCCCAAACAGGAAGUACCCGCUUGCUCCAAGAUGCCAAAAUCCCAUAGACUUCGACUGAGAAAUAAACAGCGGUUACUUAGUCAUUCUAUUUGUCAGAAUAACCAUUCUCGCUCUGCUCUUGCUAUUCCUAAUGUUUUUCCUAAUUGACUUCAUUUAGUCUGAGCCAGGAGUGAACUGUUUUCUAUGGGUGACAUCAUGCUCACUCGGUUCAGUUCUUAAGGCCCUCGUCUCCAUUGAGCGGUACAGCACGGUCCGGUUCAGUUUACAAUGGCCCAGGCAAUUCAGGCGACUGUUUCCACUCAAAGUUGGACCGGCCGUAACGCCGCAUGCGCCGUGUAGACCAAUGCUGUAGCUUUGCGUCAUAGUACUGCGACUACAGCAAAGUGAAGCUAUCUACAACAACAACAGAGGUCAUCCAGCAGCUCGUUUUUUUCUGCUUGGCUUUUGGGACUUCAUCUAUACAAGUCAUUUAAUGUUGUUUGAGAGAAGAUUGCAGGCGGUGAAGAGGAAUACGCUGGCGAUGGUUUGGCACUUUCUUAUGUCGUAAUGACCUUUCGUCAAUCAACAGGUUUCAUUGUGUGACGACAGUGGUUCCGCCCAAACGGUACAUUUCAUUUUUCUAUUGACCUACAACCAACAAGGGUCCAGAAAUUAUACGGUUUGGUCCAUUUUCGAAUGGAAAUGCUCACAAAACCGGAAUGGACCGUACCGCUGAGUGGAAACAAGGCUAUAUACAAUCAGGUAUGAGAACUGGCUCCCCCUCAGAUUUGCCAAUAGUUUUAAUUAAAUUGGACAUUUUAUUGAUUUAAUUGAUGCUUUUUCUCUCCUUUAGGUGAUAAGUUCUUGACAUCUUGACCUUUCAGAUUUUUGGAUUUCUCUUUUGCAAAAUAAUUAGCUGAUAGUGAUCUGACUACACAGCCCUUUUAUCCCCACAACCAUCAAUUACACGCUUGUUCUGUGCUUCAGACGAGUUCACUUGUAAAACUGUCCAAAUUUCACACAGCAGAGGCAGAAUCCGCUCCUUUUCAUGCGUGGGGCCCUCUGGCACACAGUCCAACACUGCUGGCAUUUUGACAGCUGUAAUCUUAGAAUUUAACACACAUAGUUGAACUGUCACUGACUGCCUAUUUAUAAUUAGCACUUCUGUAGGUGCGCUUUUGAUUUAAAGCAUGUCUUCUUUGAAGGCUGCGAGAAUUCAAAGCAAGCAAGGUGAAGGAAAACAUGACAGGUUUGCAUGCAGGCGGGCCGUCACGCUGAACACUGUGACGUUUGAGUCCAGAGCUCCCCACAAAUGUUUAUUUGAGUCUUUAGGAGGCCAGGGUGAUGUCCGUACCCAGGAUUCACUCUCCAAUGACGUGCAUUCCCCAUGCAGGAGUCUGUUUGCAUCCUUGCAUUUAUUUUUUCAAUCACCCUGCUCUUCACGGCGUUCUGUCAUGUGAGGUUAUGAAUGUUCCAGUGAGGGCACCUCUUACCUUCUGUUGACUCAGUCAGAGCCGAAAGGAGAGGUGACGCUAUGAAACUGGACUCCUUACUCUCUGUAUAAAGUUGGGUCUAUAUAAAGACAAAAGUCCAUCACUCAACCUGCAUACAUACACUGACGUGCAUGUUUUUAUCACGUUUUAGUUCUAUUAGUUUCCCCACCAACUACUUUAAUUUGCCAAAACUUUGCUCUUUUUUUUGUUUUUUUCAAAAAAGUGCAUUCUUGAGCAUCUUCACUGGCUUGUUAGCAUUCAUCCACUGGUUCUAACAAGAAUAGCCACUCUGUUUCUCCGAGGGCCCCCUUUAAAAAAAAAAAAAAAAAAAAAAGAAAAAGAAAAAGCAUCACUUCCUUAACUCCAAAACCCGUCUUCUCUGCGCUUCUGGCGUCUGUGGGACUCUGGCUGCGAUUCCAGCCACUGAGAUACCUAGAAACUGGUCCUUGUGGUCCCGAUGAAAAGAUGGCUCUGUGUCUGGAAGUUCUGAGCCCAGAGAGUAGAAUUCUUCGGUGGCAGUGAAUGUUUGGAGUUUGGAAAUGGUGGUGCAGAGAAGGGAGGCUGCACGGUUGGCUCCUGGCUCAGCACCAAUGAGGCGCUUUUGGGGGAGCAUGGGGUCAGUCACAGUGAUGUUUCACGUGAACAAGUAAACAGGUUGUGUUUAAACAGUUCAAAAACAUGUUUGGACUGCAGACAUACAAACAAAAAAGACAUCUGUUCAAACUUUUUCAAAAACACUUUUCUGGAACUUCUUCUAACUGCAUUUAAAAUCUCAAACUAUUGCUGAAACUUGAAAAAGAUGUAUUGUAUUUUUAAACAUGAUAAGCUUUAAUGGCUCUAAUAAUGUUGGUGAGAAACUGAAGCAGCUUUCAAAUUUGGAUUAAACUUUACAAGAAACGUGUUCUAACAUGCAGACCUACAAGGAACAAGAACAAAGCUCUUUAAGCUUUGGAUACUUCAUGCAAGAAGAUGGAACCGUGAAUUAUUCAGAAAGCUCUUCUCAUUGAUGAUUGGUGUGACAACACAGCAAAAGACAAUAAUACUGAGGUAGAAGUUGCAAAGGAUGAAGGUUGACGGAAAGAGAAGAUGCUGGUUUUUCAUGAUGAGGAUGAGGAUGGGAACAUUAAUUGUUGUGUGUUUGUGUAAAAUGCAUCCUUCACAUCUGCUUUUUCCACUUUUAUUUAUCAAAGUUUUGAGUUCCUGACAUUAAGGGUGGUCUCCUGCAGUUUGAGUCCUUUAAAACCCGUUCCUGACCAAAACUUUCACUUGAAAUAUGCAAAAAGUAAAAAAGAAUUUGCCUAUAGAUAAGGCUAAAACUGCUUAUAACAAGCAAAUAAAGCUCCUGACCUUUUGUUCUGAUGGCAAAUGUGUUUAAUUUGAGUAAAUUCUCCUUAAUUAAAGACCUUGUCCAAUACGACCAUUUUGGUCAUUUGAACUUGUUCUUGUCGCAUUUUUUGACGAUGGAGGACAAAUAUAAAGAAAACUAAGCUGAUAAAGAAAGUGUUUAUUUAUUCAAAUUGUUGUAAAACCAGGAACAGUUGACAAAAGAGCUUAAUUGUGACGUAGAAUCCACCAUUGGUGGGCCAUACGCUCCACUUGUAGACGACUAGAUCCAUGUACAUAAUCGGUUUCUCCUGUAAGCCAGCAGGAGAGCAUGUAAGCAAAAGGAUGAUGGGAAAUGAGGGAAGGCUUACUCCGUACCAAAGGUCCCACCCACACCUCGAAGGUAAAAUUCUAAAGAACUUCUGCCGCUCCAAAGAUAAUUAUGUCCAAAAGAACGUUAUUUUUUUUUAUUUUGGCUAAAACCAGUGUUAUCAUAAUUGAAAGACUACCGAUAGAAUGAUACAUUCUUCAAAUGUAUCAUUCUAUCAGUAAAAUUAUACCUGUUUAUGAUUUUGUCACUUGUCAAAUGAAAUAAUGUAAUCUGACUAGAAAUUAGACAAUUUUAUUUCAUAAAUAAUCAAAACUCUGCAUAAAAAAGCAAAUAAAUAUUUGUAGGAUCCCGGUCAGAUCACAUCAUCCAGCUCCUCCCAGUCACGCAAUAAUUCUGUCACACCAUAAAAGACAUUUAAAAAAAAGGUAGAUGUGACAACACUUUGCAAAAACUCCUUUCUGCUCGACCUUAUUACCAAUUGUAUAAAAAUGUUCUGUAUUUUUUUCCAUUCAAGGUGAAGCUGGUGGAGUCCUAGAUGAGAUGGCGCGCUACGAAUCAGCGACAUUUGGCGUGAAGGGGUUCAGAUCAGGACAACAAAAACGAAUGUCUUUUGUAUCAAAGCAGUUUUGGGUCACAGGUGUGGAAUAAGCCAUGGCCACAUUUUUCCUUAAUCACCUCACAGGCCUCGCACGACUUAACAAUCCAGCUUUGAACAUCACUCACAAACCGCAGGUUAGAAUGUUUUUGUCACAGAACACAUCAGAAGCUCAAACAACAAUACUUCUUUAUAGUUUUUAGAAGACUGUCUGUCCUUUUAAAAGGAAUAUUUAAAAAAAAAAAAAAACGUGUUCAUUCUGAGUCUGAGGAAUGAUUUAAGGCAGAGAAACAGCAUUCCAAGGUGAUAGGGCUUAAAACGCCUGCUUCACCUGAGUGGAAUGAAGGUCAUCUUUGAGAGGAAAGCCACAGAAAACCAGCCUGAAACUUUCAAGAGUCUUUUCAGAAAAGCGUCCAGAACAUCCCUGCAGACAAAUCAGCCUCCCCAUUUUUGUUACGGAAGCUGUGUUUCCUUCAGUAAGACAAGAUUUUUGCAUCUAUAAUAUAGACUGUUUGAUUUUGACUGAUCUCCUGAUUGCACUGUUGACAGUUCCUGACAGUUUCUUCAUUCUUUACUGUACGCACUAAACGCCGUCGUCUUGCAUGAGUCAUCAGAGUGGAAGUACAGUUUCUAUGAAACGAUCCAUCAAAAGUCUGGAAGUUUCAAUUGUUUGUAAUUCCAAUGUUUGAGAAGAAGCAACAAAAAAAACUACAGACUCUGAAGUAAUUCACCCUUUUUUUGAAGAUGUAAAAUGAGGGAUUAACUAAAGAAACUGAGAAAGAUGAUUCACCCCUGAGGUUCAGUCUUUCCAGAAAAACAGAAACAGAUCAGUUUCUCAGGGCAGAAUUCCAAAGAACAUAUUUUAAACAGUUUAACCUGUUGAGAAAGGAUCUUGGGAAACUUGAGUGAGAAAUCUGUUGUUGAAUUCCCUCAAAAUUCAAGCAAACGGGCAGGGGGUGCAUGAAAAUCCAUCAGCUCACGGGUUUGGAAGGGCUGCAGCAUCCAGAAUUUGAAUAAAACAUUAUCUGACGCCACAUGUCAGCAGCUCUGUGCAGAAACGUUUUUAUUCAGGUAUAGGUUAAACAGAAAAUGAAAGAAAAGAACGAACCUUUCCUCUGCAUCCAGAUAAAUUCAUGUUUUAGCUUCAGGAAAAUUUGAGCUUAAUUAUUUAGGCUGCCUGUGAUGGUGCCGAAGACAGACCUAAUAUUUGAUUUAUUUUCCAGAAAGUUAGUCAAAAACAGACUUUGUUUCUUCCUGAGUUUCAAGUUUUGCAUGAUGAUGAGAGAAAUUUUCCUCCUAAAUUUAACAUGAAGUUCGUAUAGAAUGCAUGUCAUGACUGUCAUUUUGUCAUUUGUGAUCUCUCUGUUUGAAAAUGUGCGUGCUCAUCCACAUGCCGCUGCAGAGAAGAAUGGUAUACUUCAGGUUCUUUGCUGCUCUCUCAUUUUUAUAACACUCUGCAUAAAACAAUUCCACUAAAGGUAAUAAAAUGCUGAACAGGUAAAGAUUAAAAUGCUAUGAUUUUAUUUUUACUAAAAUGGUCAGAAAAGCUGACUCGGCUCAUUCUGAAGGCUGAAUGAUUGCCUUUCAGUGAGGGUCUCGGUUCCACUGUGGCUUACGCACAAGAACACCUGGGACUCCCCACAACGUGGCAAAUGGAAGAACAACCGCACGCCCACUCAGGGCUGAAGUCUUUGCUUAACGGGGCCAAACAAAACACGAACCCUCAAGAUGGUCAGAGCUUCUACGCUGCUCUGCUUUCCAUGAAUGUGCAGAGCUGAACACAAGGUUUUCCAAGGCUAAGGCCAAUGAAACCACACAGUCAUGUAAGUUUAUAGGAUUUCUGGAUUUACAAGCCAAAUGUAGAAAUGAAUGUUUCAAACAUAAAACCAAACCUUACUGCAAUAAAUCA